rfam:Asian citrus Psyllid, Diaphorina citri - Florida Strain, whole genome shotgun sequence.
GUCGCGGCGACAGCACGUUGAAUACACCAGUCUUCCAUGGAUCAUUGAAGUUAAGCAACAUUGCGCGUAGUUAGUAUCAAGAUGGGUGACCAUCUGGGCAAUCGCAAGCUGAUGGCU